rnacentral:tRNA from 1 species
GGAGAGGUGCCGGAGUGGUCGAACGGGCCGGUCUCGAAAACCGGUGUACCCUUUGGGUACCGAGGGUUCGAAUCCCUCCCUCUCCG